rnacentral:tRNA from 1 species
GUAGGUAUAGUUUGAUCAAAACGUUACAUUGUGAUUCUAGAAACAGAGGUUAAACCCCUUUUACCCACC